CCCAAACGUCGCCAUUAUACAAAAUACGAAAGAUGAGAGAGAGCUGAGACAGAAGAUACCAGACACAAUACUAUUCAGGGGUUGCCUGUGUCUGUACCCCGUUUCAUCUUCACUUCUGGGAACCAGGCUGAUGGAGAAGUCUUCUAGCAGAAGUACUAUGGGUCAUGAUGGCAGAAAGAAGAGCAAACUUGGUGGACCAUGUGCUGGCCCUUGAUGGGUCUACUCAGAUGGGUCACGUAUCUCUGCUCACAAGCUUAGAAUUUGCCUGUGGGCCCUUUGAGUUGUGACAAAACAGCUGGCACAUGACAAGUUGCUAGAGUUAACAGCCGCCCGUCACACUCCAUUGCCAACUGUGACACCAAUGAUGAACGCAAUUCCAGUUUAAAAUGGACCCAUUUUUUAACCUCGGAAAAUUGUCUUUGUGAUUUUGAGCUGUCAAGAGGAAAAGAAAAUAUCCACAGUAACCUAU
rnacentral:lncRNA from 1 species